rnacentral:rRNA from 1 species
UACAGAGGUCUCGAGCGUUAGGCGGAAUCACUGGGCUUAAAGCGUGUGUAGGCGGAUCGUUAAGUACCUUGUGAAAUCCCACGGCUUAACCGUGGAAUUGCUUGGUAUACUGGCGGUCUUGAGCCAGCUAGGGGCUACCGGAACAAAUGGUGGAGCGGUGAAAUGCGUAGAUAUCAUUUGGAACGCCAAUGGUGAAAACAGGUAGCUGGGGCUGUGCUGACGCUGAGACACGAAAGCCAGGGGAGCAAACGGG